rnacentral:tRNA from 1 species
UGCGGGAUGGAGCAGUCUGGCAGCUCGCCAGGUUCAUACCCUGGAGGCCGGCGGUUCAAAUCCGUCUCCCGCGA